GCCUGGGUAGCUCAGUUGGUAGAGCGCGUCCUUGGUAAGGACGAGGUCACCGGUUCAACCCCGGUCCCAGGCUCCA
rnacentral:tRNA from 1 species